AUUAUUACAUCAUAGAGGACUGAAUGGCUGCUGACUGACAUGUUAAUGACAAGGUUAUGUCUGUUUUACGUGCUUGUGUGUGCGUGUGUGUGUGUGUGUGUGUGUGUGUGUGUGUGUGUGUGUUUGUAAAGUUGUUGUUGUUUUCUUUUGUGAAAUGGAGAUAGUGUUAGAGCCCUGACAUGGGUAACUUGUGACCGUAAGCUGACUACUAAUGAGUUCACCUUAUGAACACACACUAAAACUCUAAACGCCAUUUCUUUAACUCUCAGUGUGUGAUGCUUUCCAAACACACUGCACUCACUUGCUGUUUCUGUGUGAAAACACACACACCUAGUUCUUGUGUCCAUCCCUAGGGUUCGUCUGCGCUGUGUGUUACCAUGGCGUCCACUCAGGCCGCACGGCACUGGGUCUUACACACACACACACACACACACACACACACACGGACAGAGGGGCCACUAGCUGCUGCUGCUUCACAGUUUAACUGGACAGUAGUACGUACUUCCUGUCCGAGAUUCACGGUUGUUAGUCUGGACUAAAACACGUUAGGGAAUAUUACUCUCGUCUAAGACGGCGUCGAGAUUUACUCACCUAUUAGUCUCGUCUAAGACCGGUUUGAGCAUUACCCCUCUGUGACGCUGGCCCAAGACUCGUCAGUUAGUCCGGUCUAAGACACGUCAGUUAGUCCAGUCUAAGACACGAUACUCGUCAGUUAGUCCGGUCUAAGACACGUCAGUUAGUCUGGUCUAAGACACGAUACUCGUCAGUUAUUUGGUCUAAGACACGAUAGAGAUUUACUCGUCAGUUAGUCCGGUCUAAGACACGUUAGAGAUUUACUCGUCAGUUAGUCUGGUCUAAGGCACGAUAGAGAUUUAAUCGUCAGUUAGUCUGGCCUAAGACACGAUAGAGAUUUACUUGCAGUUAGUCCGGUCUAAGACACGAUAGAGAUUUACACGUCAGUUAGUCCGGUCUAAGACACGUCAGUUAGUCCGGUCUAAGACACGAUAGAGAUUUACUAGUCAGUUAGUUUGGUCUAAGACACGAUACUCGUCAGUUAGUCCGGUCUAAGACACGAUAGAGAUUUACUCGCAGUUAGUCCGGUCUAAGACACGAUAGAGAUUUACACGUCAGUUAGUCCGGUCUAAGACACGAUACUCGUCAGUUAGUCCGGUCUAAGACACGAUAGAGAUUUACUCGUCAGUUAGUCCGGUCUAAGACACGAUACUCGUCAGUUAGUCCGGUCUAAGACACGAUAGAAAUGUACACGUCAGUUAGUCCGAUCUAAGACACGAUA
ensembl:lncRNA